rnacentral:rRNA from 1 species
GACGAACGCUGGCGGCGUGCUUAACACAUGCAAGUCGAACGAAGUGGCGAACGGGUGAGUAACGCGUAAUCAACCUGCCCUUCAGAGGGGGACAACAGUUGGAAACGACUGCUCAUACCGCAUACUGAAUGAGGGGUUUGCGUCUGAUUAGCUAGUUGGAGGGGUAACGGCCCACCAAGGCGAUGAUCAGUAGGCGGGCUGAGAGGGUGAACGGCAACAUUGGGACUGAGACACGGCCCAGACUCCUACGGGAGGCAGCAGUGGGGAAUCGUCCGCAAUGGACGAAAGUCUGACGGAGCAACGCCGCGUGAGUGAUGACGGCCUUCGGGGUGUAAAGCUCUGUUAAUCGGGACGCGGUACCGGAAUAGAAAGCCACGGCUAACUACGUGCCAGCCGCCGCGGUAAUUC